ensembl:lncRNA
CAAGACUCUUGAAUGAGUGGUGUAGGCAAAUGAGAAAAAGAUGAAGACAAUGGUUACAUUUAUGUCGGGAAAAAUACGCCCCAAAUGGGUUGGUAAUGCUUGUUAUAAAGACGGCGAGUGUGGCUGAGAGGUUUCCCAAGUCACGAGAAGUUUGCAAGAUUCCAUGACGUUGGUCUCCAGUGUUCUGUGGGGGGGAAAUGGCUGCAUCGCAAUGAAUGCCAACUCCUGCAAGUGUUCAGCCAAUCGGUUCUGCUGCUCGAUGGCAGGGGCCAUUUUAAUUUGUCUGUUUGCUGCCAUUGUGGCAACAUAAGUUCUGCUGGGCCACAAGGUGGUUGUUGAGGGUGUCAACAUCUUUGGAACAAAUGUAAGUAAUUUACACUUUGUAUUUGUGACAUUCGCAUUUUUGAUGUACUUGUGUUAUGGGAUAAUGCCUGUAGCGCGUCUAUGAUGAUUGCGAUUUCGGUUCCUGAAUUAAACUGAUGCUUUCUCGCAGCGCACUGAGACACAAAUGCCAAAUAUCAAGAGCAUGUGAAUGAAUUAGUCUUGAAUCUGUCAUUCACUACAUGAUCACUUGCACUGAUAAGAUUAUAUAGGUUGGUUUCCCCAGUGACCUUAUUGUUUCAACGGAGUAGCUGAUAAAUCCAAUUGGGUUAGAUGUUUUCAUAUGUACAUUGUAAUGGAGGUAGUAAUUGCUGCUCUUUCCUUUCUUGAGGUUGAGUGUUGCUCCUUUGCCCUGCCCAGACUGCGGACUCCAGGAUUACUUGUAUAAGUUGACAGGACUUGGAGGAUCCUGAAAUAGAUGGGAGAUUCUUCAAGAGCUUCAGUUGUGAAAUGAAAUGCUUAACGUAGGCAUUUAGUUGAUUGGGGGACUUUGCUGUAUGCAUGAACAAUUUAUCUUGGCUUUGAUUCCCUGAAGUUGCCAAGACUACAAUCAAGGAAUUUCGUUGGCGAUAUCCGACACCUUCCUACCAAAGGCUAACACUCUGACAACUGCUGUAAAAAGGAUAUGUAAUUGAAAGUCAAUUGCCACUUAUCAUGCAAUUAGUGCUUGCAGUGUUUGAAUAAAAAAAAUGGAGUCAUCCGUGUACUGUUUUUGACUGGGGGUAUGGGCUUGCAAAUUGUUU